rnacentral:pre_miRNA from 1 species
UGGCUAUAAAAUAACUUAUUUUAUAGGCACUUUGAGCUACGAUAAUUACUAUAUUAAUUUAUAAGAUUAUAAUAACUUUUUACUAAGUGGUUUACCAACCCAAUUAUCGUAAAUAUGUAUACAUAUUAUCGUAAAUUAGUAUAUAAAAUUAUCGUAAAUGGAGGUGGCUACAGAAUAACAUAUUUUGUAGCUA